rnacentral:lncRNA from 1 species
GUUUUGGAUGUGGGGACCGUCGUCGGGUCCACGCUAAUGUCUUCCUUUGGUUGGAUGCUUGGCCGCACGUGGCUGUGUGCGGGCGGGGCUCUGUAGAUGCGGAGUUCAGGGCCCACUCUGAGUGGAGUCAGCGAUGCAGAGGUGUUGGACACGCUCGAAGGAAAGGAUAUGGAUGCGACGUGGAGACGAGUUUGUUGCGGAGGUUAACCACAUUCCGUGGAGAAGAUCGAUGCGGAGGUUGAGCACACUCCGAGAAGACGUAUGUCGUCUGUAUGUACCUAUGACCGGAGAAGGA